rnacentral:misc_RNA from 1 species
AAAUGAGCAUGUUUUUGGCACAUGAACACAUCAACUCUUAUUCUUCCUGGAUAACUAUAAAUCUAUGUUCUUUAAAUUACCAAGUGAUAUCCCAUGUUGAAUACAUUUCAUGCUGUGGAUUCUGAGCUAAUUGACUUGGUUAUUCUUUCAUAAUUGAACCAUUUCUGUUUUUAAGAGAAUAAACCAACUAAGGAUCAUAAGAGUGAACAUAAACUAGUGGGUGAGAGAGAGAUUACUGGUCAAGAAGGUGAUGAAACAAAAGUGAAAAUGCAAAGAA